CCACAAACGAAUCGCACGCAGGUUCGACGGGGCUCCCCUCGAUCUGUUUCCCAGGUCAAUCCUCAGGACACCCCAGCGGCGACAGCCCUUCGCCAUCGCCGAGAUCCGAGGGGAGCCGCCGCCACCGAGGUCCGGGAGGAGCCGCCGCUGCACCGUCUUCCUCCUCUGCCGACCUCCGAGGCGCCCUACUCGUGGGACGCCGCCGCCUCGCGGAACCCGAGGGUAGGGCAGGGCGUGAUCGCGUUGCGGUCGAGGUCCAAGAUCGCCGCCAUCGACCUCUGAGAUCGCCAUCCCUCUCUAUUUCUGGUUCACUGGCCUCUCUCCCUUUUCCCAAUAUCUCUCUUUUGUGUGUGUGCAUCGCUGCCGGCAUCCACUACCGGCCGCCUCCGCCGUCGAUUGGUGCCCCCAUGGCGCUACCGACUCCGAUGAGAUCUCCUAUUUCCAACAUAUGCAGCCGCCUUGCUGUUCUGGCCCCAUGUGCGGCCCCGUGGCUAACCCUAGCCACCUCUAUCUCCGACGAUGACGCCUCCUCUUCCUCUUGCAGUCCCGUCCUCGUCCUUGCUGGUGCUCCACACGUAUAUCCGAUGGUGACGGCGACCGACGGGUUGUGGGCCUACCAGAGGGCACGGCAGGAGACAGCGCAAGGCCGCUCGCAGCAGGGCGCGUGGUCGAUGCUCACGACAAUGGUGGGCGUGAGCAUGGCACAGGCAGCGGUCAGGUGCGUGCGGGUGGUAGCCGGCGAGGACAUGUUGAUGUUCAUCCGGGGCACACGUUAAUUAAAUAGAUCUGUUAGCUGGUAGCUACGCAAAUGAUCACAAAGAGAAGACUACCGCUGAUCCAAGGCAUGGAGAACUCCAAGGAGUUUGCUGACAAGUUGUUCGGGAUAUGUCGAGGCAGAGGAACAUUGAGCCGGAGAUUACUGAUCACAUCUUGGACUAAGCUAUGUUCAGUUUAAGUCAAUCUAACAUACUGAUGAAAAUUUUCCUUUGGGUGUCUCACAUUAACAGGUGGAACAUGAACAUUGAUGGGAUGCUCACAGAAGAUGAGGUCAAGAAGGUGGCUACGCAAAUGAUCAAAAAGAGAAGACUACCGCUGGGCCUUUUGAUCGACCACGUGAUUCAAAAAGCUCUUUAGUGCAGUUUGCAACAACAAAAAUCAGAGGAUUGGUCGUUUGUAAGGGUGGAUAUCUCAGAGGCGGCAGCCACCCAGAUUGGAAUUUAAUUUCAAUCUAUUUCCCUGUCUGAAGUUUCAUACUAGAUGAUAUGUUCCUAUGAUGUGAUCUGUUUAUGGAGAUGGAGAGAUGUGUAGGCACUUAUUAGUUUAGAAUUUUGCGAUAAGAUGAAACUAACUAUUGAUCUGAUAUGCUCUUAGAGUUGCAAGUGGUACUAUGUUCCUACCUGCGUCGACCCGAGCAGUUGCGAGAGCGAAUGAAGCUGCGGUUGCACGGACAAGCUUGUGGAGGUGUCAGUAUGCACGCAUGUAUCCCUGAUUUGGAGCAUGCCUCUAGCCUGGUAGGAUUCUCGCUCUGCACCGACCUCAAGGGCAUUCGUCUAUCUGUGUCGUGCUCGGGACCAUGCACUAAUGCAGGUGCGGUUCUUCAGCUUUUCUUUGUCUUUUUCUUGGUAUGUAUAUCUCUCAAUCUUGUGAGCCGUGAUUUUCAUGUUGCCAUGUAUGCCAUUGUGUCCUGUAUAGUGAUUCUUCUUAUUAUUUUUGAGUGGCAUAAUUAUUCUUAUUGAGGCACUGCCGCUGCCUAAUUUGCUUAUAGAAAUAACAUACUAAUUAAUACAGGGAGAGAGUACGAUUUUUUGACACAAUCUGCAGUACCCGUGAGCCUGCCCAUAGGUAGAUAUGGAUACAUUUUGUAGCUUCCAUUCUUGUUUUCUCUCAUUGAAAUUAUGGAUUUGGAAACUAAUCAUGGAGUGUCUAGAUUGCCAGCUAUAUUACCAAGUGCACUGAAGGAAAAGCUGUUGCCACUAUUGAUGACCACUCUAGGUGAUAUAAUUCAUGUUUGCUUUGUUGUUUCAGUAACUUCCUGUAGCAUAUUGGUUCCAUCUUUUUUUGCAUCAUGGUACAUUAUUAUCAUCUUGAUAUAUAUCAUUUGGUCAAUUGAAGAUUUGCGUGCAGGGUAGAAUUCUUGGUUGAUUUUAGAAUUUCGUUGUUGAUUAGUUGGCCAACAGACUUUUAUGAAAUUCAAGGCGUCAUUUAGUGUACUAUAUGUCAUAUUUGCCUUAUAUCUAUACUCACAAUAUUUCCGCAUCAUCUGAACAAAUGAUGCUAAAUUGAUAUAAUUAUUUUGGAUCAGUGUCAUCUUCUCAAUGUUGAACAGCCAAAAUAUAUACAUAGUGAGCAGUCCGCCGCACAUGCUCAUACGUCAUAUUUAUGUACUGUUUAACACGGCAAAAAUUGGUCAAACAUUUAAACAUUUCUACUGUUUAACACAACCAAAGUAUAUACAUAAUGAUCAGUCCUCCGCUGCACACAUUUAAACAUUUCUACUGUUUAACACAGCCAAAGUAUAUACAUAAUGAUCAGUCCUCCGUUAGAUCCAGCCUCCCUCCCUUGACACCAUUCUUCUUACUUAUUAUUAUUUAUUUUAAAAAUAUCUUUAGUUUUAUUUUUUAGCUACUUCAAUUCAUUUGUAUAUGGUUAGUUCCAUCGCACUACGAGGAUGAUCCAUGGCUGGUCGCGGAUGAUCACCUGCGAGGACGAUUCAUGGCCGGUUGGGGAUGGUAAGUUCCAUCACACUGCGAGGAGAUGAUUCAUGGCCGGUCGGGGAUGGUCACCUGCGGUGAGCACGAGUACCUCCUCCAUAUCCUCCCUAUACUAGCACCCUUGGCGAUGAAAAUGACGGCCAGGAGAAUCCCUCCUUCACACCUCUUUUCCAUCUCUGUCAGAUUGUCCUCUCCAGCAAGGUGUCUAUGCAUGAAUCAUAUUUAUGAUUUCUUUGCAUUUUUAACAAUUAAUAUAGAUUUUUGUACCCAUAACCCGAAGGCCAACCUUAAUACUGGACCUCGAGAGGGGCAUGUGGUCAACCAUGCCGGAGGACGCAGAUGAGUUGUUUGGGAAUGUUAUCAUCAGAGGACCCAAGAAGCAGCCCACCACGGAUGCAUGGACCAACCACACAAGUCCAUUCUUGCAAUCCAUCUGUGGCGAGGGUUCAUGACAGACAAGCCAAUAGAUUUGGGGGUCCACUUCCCGGUGAAACAAAUGUUCAUUGCGGACAAUACAAAGACGAUGAUUGGUACAAUGAGGUUAUGGGCAAGGUGGUUGAGCUUGAUGCCAAUGAGUUGGAGGUUAUUGCUUUGGCAACGCCGAAGGCCGUUCACGCGAAGAGGAGAUGUGCCUGGUGACGAGAAGUCUUAGACCACCGUAUGCUACCUUGGCCAAUAUACUACAUCAUGUGAAGGAUGCAAGGUUGCACCUUCGAGCUCAAAAUUUGAUGUCUUCACAUUGAAGGAUCCAAUCCAUCAACUUUGGAGUUUGAACGUGUCACUUGUGAUGGGGAGAGGAAGAGAUGACUUGCAUACACUGGAGAAUGAGUGUGUUAGCAGCGUGGUGGCUCAGGACUGUAGAAGUUGUAGUAGCCCCUUCCCUUAUAAAUGUAUUGUUUUGAUUGGAAGCACCUUAUAAUUUAGCUAAUAUAUGGAUUUCAUUUACAUCGUCUGUCCAAGUAUGCGAGGCCCAUGAGACGGGCAUUACUUCUCUUUUUUGUCAGUAUUUUGAUAGGGGACCUAUGUAUAUGGAAGGAGUUAAUAUCAUGUAAAUCAUAUCACCAAUUUAAGGAUCCUCAUGUUUUCUUA